ACACAUCGUUGGAUUGUUAUACGGUUUGUGGCGGAAUCCUCACAGGAACCUAACGCAACAACUACCUA
rnacentral:pre_miRNA from 1 species